GCAGUCGGACGGCAGCACGGACUUCGGUCUGGUGGCGAGUGGCGAACGGGUGAGUAAUGCAUUGGAACGUACCGAGUAGUGGGGGAUAACUAGUCGAAAGAUUAGCUAAUACCGCAUACGCAUUGAGAUGGAAAGCGGGGGAUCUUAGGACCUCGCGCUAUUUGAGCGGCCAAUGUCUGAUUAGCUAGUUGGUGGGGUAAAGGCCUACCAAGGCGACGAUCAGUAGCGGGUCUGAGAGGAUGAUCCGCCACACUGGGACUGAGACACGGCCCAGACUCCUACGGGAGGCAGCAGUGGGGAAUUUUGGACAAUGGGCGAAAGCCUGAUCCAGCCAUGCCGCGUGUCUGAAGAAGGCCUUCGGGUUGUAAAGGACUUUUGUCAGGGAAGAAAAGGUGAUUGCUAAUAUCAGUCGCUGAUGACGGUACCUGAAGAAUAAGCACCGGCUAACUACGUGCCAGCAGCCGCGGUAAUACGUAGGGUGCGAGCGUUAAUCGGAAUUACUGGGCGUAAAGCGAGCGCAGACGGUUUGUUAAGCAGGAUGUGAAAUCCCCGAGCUCAACUUGGGAACGGCGUUCUGAACUGGCAAGCUAGAGUAUGUCAGAGGGGGGUAGAAUUCCACGUGUAGCAGUGAAAUGCGUAGAGAUGUGGAGGAAUACCGAUGGCGAAGGCAGCCCCCUGGGAUAAUACUGACGUUCAUGCUCGAAAGCG
rnacentral:rRNA from 1 species